AAAAUGCACCUCAAAGGAGAAUGAAGCACGUUCAGGUAGGCCAUCCACAAGCUGAAAUGACCAAGUAAUUGACAGAAUAUGGACUUUGGUCAUGGUUGACCAUUAUGUCACUAUCCAA